AUUUGCAUUCUAUCUCAUCAGCAAUGGCCACCAUGCCGCUAACCUCCUCCCCGCCUCGCCUCCUCCACCGCCACUCCCAAGCCAGGCCCCAGCCCCGCUCCGCCACGCGCGUUCCCAUCCUCCCUCGACGGGCAGCGGCCGCGGCGCGGCGGCUGUACUGCGCCCCCGGCGCCGGCGGCGGCGGCGGCGAAGUCUCGGCCCCUCCACCUCCAGCCCCUGCCGCCGAGCAGCAGGAGCAAGCGCCGAAGGAGGAGGAGGAGUACACGCUCCUCGCCGUCACCGGCAGCGACUUCAACGAGGUCAUCAUGAUCAUCGAUUCGCCCGCCACCCGCUACCUCCUCCUCGACACCAACCGGAAUGUUCACAGCGUCCUCCCCAAGACCGGCGUCUGGACCAACUCGUAUUGGGAUGAGUUCGUGAGCCUACCAGCUGUUGUUCCACGUGGUCCUGUUGCUCUUCUAGGUUUGGGUGCUGGGACUGCAGCACAUCUGAUGCUAAAGUUUUAUCCUUGGUUGCAACUUGUCGGAUGGGAGAUUGAUCCUAAGAUAAUUGAACUGUCAAGGGAUUAUUUUGGUAUGUCUGAUUUAGAAAAGGCAACAGAAUUAGGUGGUUCACUUUCUGUGCGCAUUGGUGAUGCACUUUCUCCAUCAGCUACAAUUGAAGGAGGAUUUGCUGGUAUUGUUGUAGAUUUGUUUGCUGAUGGGAAGAUCAUACCUCAGCUGCAAGAAGUUGAAACUUGGUUGCAAAUCUCGAAAAAGCUAAUGCCAGAUGGCCGGAUCAUUGUUAACUGUGGUGGAGCUGAUGCUGCUGUAUCUCUUGCUGACGAUACAGGCCGUUCGUCCUGGGUUCAGAAUCCCACAAUUAAGGCACUCUGUACUGCAUUUCCUGGGCAGCUAAACUGGAAGCGACUAUCAGAGAAAGAGAGUGUAAAUUACGUUGCAUUGACGGGUCCUCUUCCAGACUUGGAUGAGUGGUCUACCUCAGUUCCUAGUGAGUUGAGCACAAAAGUGAAACAGUGGGUACCUUGCGAACUUGCGUGAGGCUGAGAAUCAACAGGUUUCUCUAGAUAUACCCUAUUUGCUUCAACAACUUGUUUGCCCCCUCUGUUCAUGGCUCCUUUUCUGGCAUACUCUUCUCAUGCAGCUCUCAGAUGUUCAAGGAAUAGAAGUGCAAGGUAAUCGAGCCACACUCAAAUUUUGUUUCUUAAGCAGCAUAGCGAAGACAAGCAUCAGUUGAAUUCAGUGAAUGUGUGAAUCUUGGAAGGAUGUCAUGACAAAUCUGCCACAAAAAGUUCAGAGCGUACUUUGCAUAACAUUUUUGUCAUCUCUGACUGUUCAUAUUCGUACAUUUUUGUUUUGAGGGAAAAUCCAUGUCAGCUUCGCAAAGUGACAACUUGAUUUGUCUGAACAGCUGUCCAGUAGCUUUCACUGACAAAUACUGUUCGUUAGUAGCAUUCACUGAUAGAUACAUUGCACUUCCCUCCUGAUGAGGUCUCUGAAGAAAGCAACCCUGCCGUACUGUUUGUGUGAUUGAGCAGAGAAUCGGUGCCCAGUAACAUGUCUGUUAAAUGUUCAGGAUACAGCAAAAAAAAAAAAGGUUCAGGAUACAAGGGUAUGCACCGUGAUAAAUGAUGAUGCAUUGAUGCUCGAUGACAUCGUCCUGUUGAGUUAAGUUUUGGAGUGAAUUGAUGUAGUUCAGUACAUCCUUUAACUCUUCAGUUGAGAUCAGUCCGGCACCCCUACAAUCUUUGGUCCGAUGUAAGGUCGAUAUCAUCUUACCUAGAGCCCUAGGCUUCUUAUCAGUAAGGCUCAGUUGUCAUGUUUAACACAAAGGCAACGGGUAGCUGUCGAUCCUUGGCAACUAAAUGAUGUGAAAUCUUCUCUUGCUUGGAUUGAAGAAAUGCAGAGUGCUCUACUUGCUGCUGAAAAACUCAAUGAUUAAGCAUGAAGAGAUCAACUUCUCCAUACACCCUCAUUUUGGUGCAUUUGCCUGCUGAUCUU